rnacentral:rRNA from 1 species
AUGGCUUCCGCCAGGACCUCCGCGCUCAAGGUGGCGGCCGUCGCCCUCUGCGUCGUGCUGGUCCUGUCGUCCAUGGGGCGGACGGCGAUGAGCGACUGCGCCACGGACUGCGCCGACGUGUGCUCCUGCACCGGCACGUGCCGGGGCUGCAUCCGGGAAGCGGCAUGCGCCCGCAUCUGCGGCCCCGCCUCCACUGUGCCCGAAAACUGCCCGGGCUGCUUGGAAACGGCCAGGUUAGCGUGCGAAGAGCAAUGCGUCACCGGCUGCGAUUUCCCAUAA